rnacentral:rRNA from 1 species
AACGAACGCUGGCGGCAGGCUUAACACAUGCAAGUCGAGCGCCCCGCAAGGGGAGCGGCAGACGGGUGAGUAACGCGUGGGAAUCUACCGUGCCCUACGGAAUAGCUCCGGGAAACUGGAAUUACUACCGUAUACGCCCUACGGGGGAAAGAUUUAUCGGGGUAUGAUGAGCCCGCGUUGGAUUAGCUAGUUGGUGGGGUAAAGGCCUACCAAGGCGACGAUCCAUAGCUGGUCUGAGAGGAUGAUCAGCCACAUUGGGACUGAGACACGGCCCAAACUCCUACGGGAGGCAGCAGUGGGGAAUAUUGGACAAUGGGCGCAAGCCUGAUCCAGCCAUGCCGCGUGAGUGAUGAAGGUCUUAGGAUUGUAAAGCUCUUUCACCGAUGAAGAUAAUGACGGUAGUCGGAGAAGAAGCCCCGGCUAACUUCGUGCCAGCAGCCGCAGUAACAC